UACGUAGGGUGCAAGCGUUAAUCGGAAUUACUGGGCGUAAAGCGCACGUAGGCGGAUCGAUCAGUCAGGGGUGAAAUCCCAGAGCUCAACUCUGGAACUGCCUUUGAUACUGUCGGUCUAGAGUAUGGAAGAGGUGAGUGGAAUUCCGAGUGUAGAGGUGAAAUUCGUAGAUAUUAGGAAGAACACCAGUGGCGAAGGCGGCUCACUGGUCCGGUACUGACGCUGAGGUGCGAAAGCGUGGGGAGCAAACAGG
rnacentral:rRNA from 1 species